AGGUGUAACACUUCAGAGUUCCAACCAAACCCUUGGAGUUCUCCUACAGCCAUCUUGCCUGUGGUGUAGAGUGGAGGUUCCCAAAGGUUCCAUAACCUGUGACUACAUCAUUGCCUGAUAUCCAAUGGAGUUGGGUGCUUGAGACUGAAGAAUAUCUGGAUGCCUAAAGACUGCUACCAUUACUGCACUAUUUUUAUCACAUCACAGUCAAUGACUUUGGUGAAGAACGAAGUUGUCCAAACUUAAUAGGAGGCAACUACUGGCACGUGAGUCACACGAAGGAGCCUGUGCAACACUGAAGAGGAAGGGGGACAGAUCAAUAAGGGCCUUGUAAGACAAGACACCCUCUUUCAUGACCUCACAGUGUAUCGAUAUAAAUGCUUAUCCCUGAAAUCCUCUCAUUUCCCACUCUUACUCAUCUUUAAAGAUAUACCUAAAGUCACCCAACUAUGUUGGGGCUUUGGUCACUUUACUCAGGAAGAGCUGGCUAUUACUGUCCCUGUUCUCACCGUAAUUUUUGGAAAUCUUUUUCAUAUCGCCUUUUUUCUGCAGGGGUAGCUAUGUGUUUACUGUUCCCUUGUGCUCUUCAUGUCAGGAAUCAUGAGUUACUCUGCGCUGAAUCUCUAGUCCUGGACCCACAGUACAGGGCUUGACACAUGGUGGGUACUCUAUAAACUGUAACGAAUGAGUGAAGAAUGAAAAUGGGCUAGGGUAGUAAUAAAAUGAUUGUGGAAAACUAAAGUAAGAGAAAACAGGAAAACAGCUGAGUGCACAGAAGACAGCGGAAUUUUUCCAGAGUUUUAUCCGAAUGUAAGGAUGGGAAUAUAAAGCACGGUUGUGAAUUUCAACAAAGGGCACAUGACAGAGCAUCUUGAGAUUUCCGGGCUAGAAAACGUGGGCUUCCUGUAACUUAACAUCCAAUGGGGAAUAUGUAUACACCAAAUAGUCUCACAGAUACAUAAUUUCUAAUUUCAUAAAGCUCUCUAAAGGAAAUAUACAGUGUGCUAGAAUAAUAAUCAGCAAGGAAGCCUGAUCUGGCAGGGGUCACUUGAAUAAGUGACAUUUGAGAUGAGACCUGA